ensembl:snoRNA U8 U8 small nucleolar RNA
UCGUCAGGUGGGAUAAUCCUUACCUGUUACUCCUUUUGGAGUGCAGAUGAGAAAAUGAUGAUUGGAGUUCGCAUGAUACGUGAUUAUACGUCUCUGCGUAAUCAGAGCCUGCAACACUCUGAUUGCUCCUAUCUGAU